rnacentral:rRNA from 1 species
UACGGGGGGAGCAAGCGUUGUUCGGAUUUACUGGGCGUAAAGGGCGCGUAGGCGGCCAGCACAAGUCAGUUGUGAAAUCUCCGGGCUUAACUCGGAAAGGUCAACUGAUACUGUGCGGCUAGAGUGCAGAAGGGGCAACUGGAAUUCUCGGUGUAGCGGUGAAAUGCGUAGAUAUCGAGAGGAACACCCGCGGCGAAGGCGGGUUGCUGGGCUGACACUGACGCUGAUGCGCGAAAGCCAGGGGAGCGAACGGG